UUGGGAUUCACCCUGUAGGAGUGCUUUUGUUCUGAAACGUUGAAUUGAAGGCUCACUCGCCGCUGCGAGAACCUAAGAUGCUUAUCGCGAAGAGGAGGCAAAUAAAAUGCGACUCGCAGGGAAUUAAGAGAACAAACACAAGAUUGAAUGGCAGCAAAGCAGCAAACAUGAAAGAGGAUGAAGGAAUCUAAUCCACCAGGACUGAAAAUAAACAAAUAAAUGAUGUCACUUACCCCACCUUCACUUAGCCCUUUGGGUUUGUAUUUCAAAAGUCCCUCAGCAGGGUUUACGCAUCUUUUCUAGUCGCAUUGUUUUCAAUUUUC
ensembl:lncRNA